AUGAGGGGACGUCACACCAAAACAGAGUGCCGUGCUGCUAGGGGAGGGGAAGUUAGGAGUAAGGGGGUAAGAAAGCAGGGAGGAAAUCAGCACCACCCUGGCAAGGAAGAACAAAGCUCCCCAAAAAGGAAGGGAUGCUCCCGUCGGAAGAGGGAAUGUGUCACACCGCUUCCUACAGAGGCAGUUUCUUUAUCCUUAGUCCUGCAAAAGCACCCUCAUCUCCCCCUGGCACCAGCGGAAAGAGGAAGGGUGUGCUGGGGAUGUAACCAGCCACUGGCUCCAGCCCAGGAAGGACUUGCAACUCCACCCAGGCAUCUCUCAAGCCAGCUUUAUUUAUUUAUUUAUUUAUUUAUUUAUUUAUUUAUUUAUUUAUUUUUCUUUAGCAAACCACUAAACAAAAUGCUCCUUGUGUCCACUGCGGAUUCCUGCUCCCCAAAUCUUCUGCAACUUUUCUUUGUGGCUUCUUUGGUCCUUAGACAGAGAAAUGAGCUACCUCUGGAGCUCCUAAUGAACAGAGCUGAGUGGCUCCAAGCUUUGGCCGAAAUGGAGGUAGAUUUUAUCCUAGAGGCACACAGGGAUAUACAGAGCAGGCAGAUGAAGACACAUGAUGGAGCUGAGUUAUGGAUCUCUUUGAUCCAACCUGAGCUAGAACUGGAGAAUCCUAAUUUAGGAACUUGCAACCCAUUCCCUGCAGCAAUUUAAUUAUCACAGCAAUGCAAAACCCCUGCAUUUACAUUGCUGAGGCUUUACAUUUUAAUCUUUGUUAAUGAUGCCUGAAAAAAAUUAGGUUCUUUUGUUUACUAAAGAAGCCCCCUGCGUUUUUUUGUUUUUGUUUGUUUGUUUUUCAUGAACACUGCAGAAGUGCAAAAUAUUUACUGUUCUUCAAUUAAUGGCCACAUUGCUAUCGUUUCUGCAAUUCUUUUUAUGCAAAGGUCUCACCAAGCUUUACUAGUACUAGUGAAUCAAAUCUCACCACCUAGCUCCUCUGAAAACCAGAAAGUGUGUUAACUUCGUCCUGCGGUUAUUCUACUUCACAAGCUAUCAAGACAGAGCCAAAAAAUCACUCAGCAACUCAGUCACAAGUCUGAGGACCUCAACUCCUCCUUCUGAUGCACUCUCUUUCUACAGCUUGCUCUGCUGUUGCCACAUUGGGCAAGUAGACAGAGAACACAAGCGUUACAAAGGUAAAACCCUAGACAGGAAAUCUCUCAUCACACAAAUGCUCCUUGGGGCGACUUACCAGGCAGAGCACAAAACAAUGAGGAUAAAUUCAGCGCAGAGAGCCAAAUGCAUCUGGCCAGGCUCCUUUAAAGCCAAUAGUGCUGUAUUUCACAAUGCCCAACCUGCAACGUCUUGAUGUUGAAAUUAAAUGAAUGCUAUUUGCUUGACAAUCAAGACUGAUCUCCAGAUGAAGUUUUAACUAGAAACGGAAAUUAGGCAUAAAAUAAACUAAUAUAUAUACAUAUAUAUAUUCUUCUC
rnacentral:lncRNA from 1 species